rnacentral:misc_RNA from 1 species
UCAUAAAUGCUUUUAUGUAACUCAUGGCUACUGCUCUAUUGAGAAGCCCUUGACCACUUUGAUAAUAACUCUUGCAUUUUCUUUAAGUUAUCAAAAGUUCCAAGAGAACUCGAUGUGUAUGUUGGUGGUUAAUAUAGUCAUUAGUGUUGCUGAUAUUUUCCACAGUUUAUAUUACCGAACCUGUUAAUUAAUUAGUCUUUUAGAUUGGUUAACAAAUUUAAUUGGUUUGAGGGUCAAAUAUAACUAAAAAAUUUUAAUUAAUAUAUAAAUGGCUUAG